CUGUGAUUUUCGUAAUGAUUUCGGUUAUCUUUGCUAUCACUAGCAUAUUCGUGUUUGCGUGUAGUUCUACCAACAAAGGAAUUUGCUUUAAAAUGGCGAGCAGCGGCUCACAGACCAUACGAUUUACAGUGUCGUAACGCGCACCACAAAAUUUUUUUGGUAACCGGUUUUGAUCUGCAGGCCACGAUUUGCUGCACUUUCACGUGAAACGUAGGCUUAGAAUUUCUUCCUUGAAUUUUGGCUAUUCAAAGCGAUAAUGAGAAGUCAGAUGAAUGAGAAAAUGUAACUUAAUCAGCUCACUAAUCUGACCUCUACAUAUUGCAUAGGUCCUUUGAUGCCUACACUAACGUAUUACUUGUGGAACUGUAAAAGUUCGAUAUCUUCGAACAGCCGUCAUCUUAUGAUAUCAAAAGUGUAAGAAUCCUUAUGAUUACAUAAAAGAAUUUAUUCAGCUUGCUAAGAAUUUCAACGUAGCAAUGCGUGAAGAUCUUGAGUAUACGAAGAGAGUAUAUAUCAAAACCUUUUCCCUUCUUUCCUUAAUUGUGAUGAGAGGAAAAUAGCAGCGUUAUACAGUGUCAGCUCUGCGUAACAACGCGUGUACUCUUAGUGUAUAUGAUCGCACCGAAGUGAACGCAGCAUACUCUUCUUUAGCUUUGAAUAUGUGGAAUUGCUAUCCGAAAGGCCUUCAUUGGCGCGGGGAGCUUAUUUAAUAAUAAUAAACGUUCUAUUAAAUCGUGACUUGAUAUGAAAAUUGCAUCCAGUAUGCGGAUUAAUACGCGUAGAUUUCGUAUUCAAAAUGUGACUUCUCUCAAACGACAUCAAAAUCUCCUGUCAUGUCGAUUAUUUGUUUACAAAUACGUGACGAUACGAAUGAUGACGAUAUUUUUGUUAUUUUCAAAAUAAUGAAAGAAUCCAAAUUGCGCGUAAUGACUACAUAUUGCCUUGUGAUGGGGGAAAAAGUACUGUUAAAAGCCGUCAUUAGUUUGAAAAAUGUUAUGCAACUCUUCUACGGCGAAAACUGUGAAUUGUGGAUGUUUUACGGAUAACAAACUAGAUCUUACUGGCACUGAUGUUGCUGAGCGUAGCUAAUUACGACAGAGUCGCAAAAGUUACUCUUCGUAAUCGAUAAGUGACCUUGCACAAUACAGCUAUCGCCACAACAAUACCAAGAGGUCAAUGAUUCACUGCUAAUUCUUAAGAGAGCUAAUGAAGGCAAUAAGAAUGUAUUGAAGGUAGAAGCAUGUAAACGUAAUAUUUUAAUAUGUUUUCCAGAUCCACUCUUAGAAGGAAUAACAAACUAUGUCACACAGAGACGCUGGCUGAAACGAUUGCGAACAAGAGCUUCAGCUUGCAGUUUGUUAUCUGAUACAAAUAUAACGGCAGGUUAGGUUUGCAAAGUUCAGAAAUCUAUUUGCAAGGUUUGCGUAAGAUUUAAGUCGUUCAGUUGUCUCUUGAUCCGUGCAAAAGUCCAUCCAUCUCUGAUUUCACCUGGUCGGCAUCCACGCACCCUUUCGAAAUUUACGUUAACUUACGCUUCCAUCGACACGUCGCUCCGUUUGCUUAUGUCUGCAAUCAAUCAUUCUAAUCAUAUCUCCAUUCGAGUUUUCUUCCAUGCGUCAACUCCUGUAUGUAUUUAUCCGUUUUUCUAGCUCUCCAAUCUUACCAUGCGCGAUGAUAAGGUAAUCAAGGACACAACAACCUUUGAUUUUUUGUUCCUAUCAAGUUUAAAAAGGGGAUAACGCUCAAAAUGGUUGAGCAACAAUCCCAAGAUGAUCCUAAUUAUUUCAACAACAGUUAAUAAAUUUUCGAUUAUAAAAAACCUAAAACACAGGGAAAGUGGGCGAAAACUCUCUAAAAUGUAGAAAAAUUCUCAAAAUACUAUGUCAACUUUUGGGGUCGUAUCCUUCCUUUUAGUCUUCCGUUAGAGACUCCUGUUUGUGGAUAACUUUUUGAACUCCCGCCCCAAACAACAGUUCUUAUAAAAUGAUAAAUGCUUGCAAUUAUUUUCACUAUUUUUUCACUUGGAAAAGUGGGACAAUAUAUUUCAAUCAAAAGAUUUUCUAUCAUUUUCUACACCUUUUUCCCUUUGUCGAAAGAACGAUAUUGGCUUGGCCGUGAUACAAUCAUCGAUGCAUUUUCGCACUUCGCCAACUUUGCGAAGCUUUGCUCAAGCCGCGCCAUGCUGCAUCGAACUGAACAAAUGGUAUUCAAAAGGCACCAUAUCUGGUGAGUACGCUGGGUGUGACAGAACUUUCCCUUCCAGCUGUGACAGUAUACCCAGGGUAACUUGCUGCAAUAAUUUACCAAAAUGGCAUUCUCAGUCAAUUCGUAUGGGAGCCGCUUUUCCUCCCUUUGGAUCUUUUCCACCAUCAUUAGCGUCUGUAUGCGCUGAAUAACUUAAUCAUGCUAAAUGAAAAACUUUUAUUUUAUGUAGAGAAAGGUGAAAAUCAUCGAAUUUAACCAUUAAGCCCAUUAACACUCCACGUUACAUUAUCAUUUCUACCAAUAAAAAUCGCCGACCAAAAUAAAUGCAUGUACUUAUUAUGAUAGAGCAAGGGUUCUGAACGGUCACUCACAUGUAGAUAUAGGUGUACGAAAAAUUUCCCCGCUUAAAUAAAGUCUCUAACAAAUCUUGCAUUUUGAAAUCCAUAAGAUUCAUACUUUUCACAGACAUCAUUUUUGUUCAUAAGUAGUAAAUAAGAAUACUCUACGAAUCUUGUAUAAGCUGAAUUUGUGUUUGCCUCCUCGACUUCGACUUGCUAUUAAAAAUUCUCUUCUCAUGUCGUAUGUUAAGUAUAUUAUUGGAGUAUUUUUCCGUUGGGCGUUGUAUAACUAGGAUGGGUUUUAAUGUACUGUCAGGCCUAUUGCACGCCUUGUUUAUAAAAUCGAACGCAGAGUCCGCAUUUAAUCCUUUGUCCAUGCUGUUGUGAAAUUUUCAUUCUCAUAUUUACAUCAUCUUAUAUUCAUACCUUUGGCUGACCCAUCGUUUACUGUCCGUGCAAUUCGUUAUUGUAAUGCGUUGCUGAUGAGUUUGAAAUCCUCUGACGAUUCCUUUGAUAUAUUUGGCAGGAAAUUGACCAUAUCUUCAAACACACGUAACUUUCCCUUGUUGCUGCCAGCAAAUGAUCACCAGGGACAUUCUGGAGCAAGGUGAUUGUAGCAGUAAUCUUUAGUCAAAUUUGCAUACACUUAUAAUAUAAUCUUUCGUGCAUGAUAAUUACAUGCCUUGUGGCUGCAAGCAUUGGCCUAUUGUUUUUUGCAUAGAAUGGUAAUAAUAAUAAGAAAUUUAUAAGCACAUGGCAUUUUCACGUAAACAUCGUCUUCAUGAAACUAAUUGCUAGACUCGCGAUUUCCAAACAUUUGUUUGGGGUUUUCCUUCUCUUUAGUGCAGCGUAAGUGUAAGUUUCUCCAUAUUUUUCAAACGGAUUACAUUUUUUCUUAGCAGAAAUUAUUUUCAAUUUUUUUUUACGAACGAAUGCUGAUUGAAAAAUUUUUUAUAUCAUUGGUAAAUAUAAAUAAAUUUUCAGUUACAUAAACAUCUUUCUCCAGUAUGGUGAACGGAGAACGAAUCACAUAUAGUACAGAAAAAUGCCAUUGCAAGGUGUUUAAGACCUCAUUCAUCAAUGGCAAAGAAAAGGGAUAUAAUAAACAUUUUGCUGUUCAGGAUUCUUUCGAAUUGUAAAUGUUUCUCCUUUCUUUGCUAUCCUAUUGCAUAAAACCAAUUUCCGAAAAAUAGUUAAAAAUUGAAAAAAAACGGGGACUUAAAAAAAACUGGUGAGAGAAGCGUAUUCCAUCGUUGAAAUCUUUUACAUAAUGUUUCUUUAAAAAAGGGUAUGGUAGUUUGUUGAACGAGUUCAUUUGCUUAUCUUUUCCUUUAUAUGGGUCCAAAAAAUAUUUUUAGGGGGUUUUUUUAUCAGUGCCUCCUACUUACAGGCUGCAAAUUAUAGUUUCUUUUCAAUAUCUUCUGUGCUUAUAGUGAGCGUGGUUUUUGCCCAAAUAGUCAGACCACGGCUAAAUUACGAACGGCUUGAGUUACCUUAUGCUCACCAACCAAACAGAAACUCUUCAUAUGUGCUCCGAGGUACUUUUCUGGUUGUUACAAAAAGAAGAGUAAAUGAAACAUAUCUACGAAUCGUUCGCUAAUCGGUAUAACAAGAAGUAAAAACAUCGAUAUCUAAAAAAAAAAAAAUAAUAAAUAAAAAAUUGUCACUCUACACUUUCCACAUCAUUGAUUGGCAUUUUUCUGGUUAGCACAUUGCUGUUGCAGAAGCCAACGUAUUGUCAUUACUAGUUAGUAGAACCUAAAAAUUGGUUUUGUUAACAAACGUUACUGAAUUGUUUUGUAUACAUGUAAAUAUGUGCGAAUGUGGAUAUAAGCAGAAGAAAAAAAGGGAAACCAAAUCA